rnacentral:rRNA from 1 species
UACGGAGGGGGCUAGCGUUGUUCGGAAUCACUGGGCGUAAAGCGUGCGUAGGCGGCCAUUCAAGUCAGAGGUGAAAGCCCAGGGCUCAACCCUGGAACUGCCUUUUGAAACUAGAUGGCUGGAACACGGGAGAGGUGAGUGGAAUUCCGAGUGUAGAGGUGAAAUUCGUAGAUAUUCGGAAGAACACCAGUGGCGAAGGCGGCUCACUGGACCGUUGUUGACGCUGAGGCACGAAAGCGUGGGGAGCAAACAGG